rnacentral:rRNA from 1 species
GACGAACGCUGGCGGCGUGCUUAACACAUGCAAGUCGAACGGAAAGGCCAUGCUUUUGUGGGGUGCUCGAGUGGCGAACGGGUGAGUAAAACGUGAGUAACCUGCCCUUGACUUUGGGAUAACUUCAGGAAACUGGGGCUAAUACCGGAUAGGAGCUCCUGAUGCAUGGUGGGGGUUGGAAAGUUUCGGCGGUGGGGGCUGGACUCGCGGCUUAUCAGCUUGUUGGUGGGGUAGUGGCUUACCAAGGGUUUGACGGGUAGCCGGCCUGAGAGGGUGGCCGGCCACAUUGGGACUGAGGUACGGCCCAGACGCCUACGUGAGGCAGCAGUGGGGAACAUUGCACAAUGGGCGGAAGCCUGAUGCAGCAACGCCGCGUUCGGGAUGACGGCCUUCGGGUUGUAAACCGCUUUCGCCUGUGACGAAGAGUUAGUGACGGUAAUGGGUAAAGAAGCACCGGCUAACUACGUG